rnacentral:rRNA from 1 species
UACGUAGGGUGCAAGCGUUAAUCGGAAUUACUGGGCGUAAAGCGUGCGCAGGCGGUUAUGUAAGACAGAUGUGAAAUGCCCGGGCUUAACCUGGGAACUGCAUUUGUGACUGCAUGGCUAGAGUUUGGCAGAGGGGGGUAGAAUUCCACGUGUAGCAGUGAAAUGCGUAGAUAUGUGGAGGAACACCGAUGGCGAAGGCAGCCCCCUGGGUCAAGACUGACGCUCAUGCACGAAAGCGU